rnacentral:lncRNA from 1 species
AUGGCUAAUCUGAAAAGUCUCAGUGGAUGAAGACUCUGUUGAAGAGUCCCACUGAAUUUGGACUCUAUCAUUAAUGGAGGAUUAAUUAGUGAUUAGAUUAUUAAUUAGCUCAAUUUGAUUGAGUAUUAAGGUUUGGAUCAAGUCUGAUUGAAUUGGAUUCAAUCAGGUAAGAUCUGAUUAGAUUAUGAGAUGACCUAAUCGGUAAGGAAGAAAUGAUCCUAAUUUGAUUGGGUCUAUGGCUC